GACAGAUGGGAGCUUGCUCCCUGAUGUUAGCGGCGGACGGGUGAGUAACACGUGGGUAACCUGCCUGUAAGACUGGGAUAACUCCGGGAAACCGGGGCUAAUACCGGAUGGUUGUUUGAACCGCAUGGUUCAGACAUAAAAGGUGGCUUCGGCUACCACUUACAGAUGGACCCGCGGCGCAUUAGCUAGUUGGUGAGGUAACGGCUCACCAAGGCGACGAUGCGUAGCCGACCUGAGAGGGUGAUCGGCCACACUGGGACUGAGACACGGCCCAGACUCCUACGGGAGGCAGCAGUAGGGAAUCUUCCGCAAUGGACGAAAGUCUGACGGAGCAACGCCGCGUGAGUGAUGAAGGUUUUCGGAUCGUAAAGCUCUGUUGUUAGGGAAGAACAAGUGCCGUUCAAAUAGGGCGGCACCUUGACGGUACCUAACCAGAAAGCCACGGCUAACUACGUGCCAGCAGCCGCGGUAAUACGUAGGUGGCAAGCGUUGUCCGGAAUUAUUGGGCGUAAAGGGCUCGCAGGCGGUUUCUUAAGUCUGAUGUGAAAGCCCCCGGCUCAACCGGGGAGGGUCAUUGGAAACUGGGGAACUUGAGUGCAGAAGAGGAGAGUGGAAUUCCACGUGUAGCGGUGAAAUGCGUAGAGAUGUGGAGGAACACCAGUGGCGAAGGCGACUCUCUGGUCUGUAACUGACGCUGAGGAGCGAAAGCGUGGGGAGCGAACAGGAUUAGAUACCCUGGUAGUCCACGCCGUAAACGAUGAGUGCUAAGUGUUAGGGGGUUUCCGCCCCUUAGUGCUGCAGCUAACGCAUUAAGCACUCCGCCUGGGGAGUACGGUCGCAAGACUGAAACUCAAAGGAAUUGACGGGGGCC
rnacentral:rRNA from 1 species